CACAUCACCAUCUUCAUCACAAUCAUUUUUAUUGUCACCACCUUCGCCAUCACCACCAUCACUGUCAUUACCAUCACUGACAUUGUCACUGUCAUCAUGAUCUGUGUCAGUAUCAUCAGCAUCACCACCAUCAUCACUGUUAUCACCACCACCACUGCCACCACCCCCAUCACCAUCAAAUGGGCUGCUAAUGUCCCCAUGUGACAAACCUGCUUUGGAAAAAAAAAAGAAGAAGGAACAACGUGGGAGACGGACCAAAGGAUUUUUUGCAACCAAGAAAAAGAAAGUUCAUCAACAGGUUUUCAGAUCCCACAUUGAGACGGCUCAGGUACCACCACUUGUCGGGUUUUGUGCACUCCGAGGAAGUGACCUGGAAAGCCUUUUAAACCCUCUGUCUUGUAGCUACGUAUCUGUGAGGCGCGAGUUUCCUUCAUGCACUUCAAGCACGCGAUCCACCGCAACAGAUUGACUCUGUUCAACCAGAUGGUAAAGAGAUCGGCAGAAACACGACGAUGCCACCCUUUUCGCCGAUUACUUUGAAGUAGCAAACGUGUUCUUUAUACCAACA